rnacentral:lncRNA from 1 species
GACAUGAUUAGUAACUGUGAACCGCAUCAGCCUUCCUACACAGUGUCUUCGCCUGGGUUCCCCUGAGACCAGCAUGUCUGUGCAGUUAGAUUGUCUGGGAACAAGAUUCCAGGGAACAGGAGUAAAGGACAGAGGAGAACCGGGAGGGAAGGAGGCCCAACACUGGGUUAUAUGAUCAGAUUGGCCAGUGCCAAGGGCAGGUUGUGUUCCAGUCAGCCAGAACUUCUGAGGAGGACUAUAAAAUACACCUAAAAACCAUCUGUACCAUGGACAAAAGAAGGAAGUAUUUAUCUUUUACACCCAUCCAUCAAAGGCUGAGCCACAGGUGUCAGCGCUUCACAUUUCCAGGUGUGAGUCCCAAACAGAUUCUGUCUCUUGGGUAGAAAGCAAGAGGUGUGGCAUCACAGGGGGAAGAGAUCCCCCCACACACACUAAUCCUACUGUACCUCUGUGAAGUUGGUCAGAGCCUGUGUGAACUGGUCCCUUCAGGAGUGGCUAGAGUAAGUGCUGUGGCAGAAAGGUGUCUGAUGUCUGUAUUCGGUUUGCCAAAGGGCACUUUACACUAGAAAGUAUGGAUGCACCUGGGUAAAAAGUUUGACAGACAGGGCCUGUUACAUAACCAGCUUCAGGCUGAGGUCAAAGGGAAGCUUAGCCCAUCUUCUGGAACACUGUUGGCUUCUUUACUCUCAAACCUGGUUCUGUGCUGGGUCCCUGAUUAGUUCACUUCACAGGGGCUCCAGGUUCUGAAUUAUAGCCCUUCCUGCCCUUUCUCCUGCUGCAUGAGUGAAUAGUUUCUGCAUUUACUGUGAUCCUUGUCAUUCAUGGCCUUCUGAGGGCAAAAACCAUAUUGCCUGAAUGCUUUGAGCUCUUCCUUUGAGCAUUAGCUCUCAGCAUUAGCUCUCAAGUCACUGCUCCCAAAGUUGAACCAAGUGGCUGAAAAUCCAAACCCAGUUUCUGAACCUGCUAGACUCUGUGUGCUUGUUUCCAUCAGAGCCAUGACCUUGGGAAGACUGAUCAGAUUAUCUUGACGAGGGGAUCUCCUCUCAGAGAGAUACACAUAAUGCAUAGCUAUAGGGACAGAUCCAGAGCUUGAUGAGGUACUC